rfam:Rhizobium sp. R72 R711_NODE_16, whole genome shotgun sequence.
GCGUGAGGACGACCUCCCCCUCCAUGGGCAUCAACUCGGGACGACCCGA